rnacentral:rRNA from 1 species
UAGGGAAUCUUCGGCAAUGGACGAAAGUCUGACCGAGCAACGCCGCGUGAGUGAAGAAGGUUUUCGGAUCGUAAAACUCUGUUGUUAGAGAAGAACAAGGACGUUAGUAACUGAACGUCCCCUGACGGUAUCUAACCAGAAAGCCACGGCUAACUACGUGCCAGCAGCCGCGGUAAUACGUAGGUGGCAAGCGUUGUCCGGAUUUAUUGGGCGUAAAGCGAGCGCAGGCGGUUUCUUAAGUCUGAUGUGAAAGCCCCCGGCUCAACCGGGGAGGGUCAUUGGAAACUGGGAGACUAUAGUGCAGAAGAGGAGAGUGGAAUUCCAUGUGUAGCGGUGAAAUGCGUAGAUAUAUGGAGGAACACCAGUGGCGAAGGCGGCUCUCUGGUCUGUAACUGACGCUGAGGCUCGAAAGCGUGGGGAGCAAACAGG